CAUGGAUUAACUCACAGUUUCAUAAGACCUUGGGAAAGGAGAAAAUCAAAGGAGCUGUCUUUCCCUAAUUUGGACGGAGAGUUGGUGAAAAAUGGCACCUGCUCCAAGCCAUAAUAUCUGGAAUGUGUGGCCUUCAGAAUUGCCACUGUAGAGAAGAGAAGGCUGGAAGACCCCAUGGGAUGCUUUAAGGGCUAGGCCCAGAAGUGCAAUUACGUCAUUUACAACCACCUCUCUUUGGCCAGAACCAGGUCACACAGCUCCGUUCUAACUGCAAAGGAGGCCAGGGCUUAGAAGAUCUCGUGGAUAUUUGGUGAAUACUGGCAGUCUUGCCAUAGUCAGGAAACUUCAAAAAGGGGAAAAGAUGCCCUAUGGCCACACUCCACUCUGGCCCACAAGCUGGCAUCAUCCAAUGACGUGGCCGAUGUGGCCUCAUUUGUUGCGUGGGCUGGCAAAACCCAUAUUCAGGUUAUACAGGAAUCCUUCAUUAAAGUUUAGAGGUCCUUUCUCC
rnacentral:lncRNA from 1 species